rnacentral:rRNA from 1 species
CCUACGGGAGGCAGCAGUGAGGAAUAUUGGUCAAUGGUCGGGAGACUGAACCAGCCAAGCCGCGUGAGGGAUGAAGGUACAGAGUAUCGUAAACCUCUUUUGUCAGGGAACAAAGGCGGGGACGUGUCCCCGGAUGAGUGUACCUGAAGAAAAAGCAUCGGCUAACUCCGUGCCAGCAGCCGCGGUAAUACGGAGGAUGCGAGCGUUAUCCGGAUUUAUUGGGUUUAAGGGGUGGGCAGGCGGUCUGUUAAGUCAGGGGUCAAACCCCGGGGCUCAACCCCGGCCCGCCGUUGAAACUGGCAGUCUCGAGUUGGAGAGAAGUAUGCGGAAUGCGCGGUGUAGCGGUGAAAUGCAUAGAGAUCGCGCAGAACUCCGAUUGCGAAGGCAGCAUGCCGGCUCCACACUGACGCUGAGGCACGAAAGCGUGGGUAUCGAACAGGAUUAGAUACCCCUGUAGUC